rnacentral:rRNA from 1 species
UACGUAGGGGGCAAGCGUUAUCCGGAUUUACUGGGUGUAAAGGGAGCGUAGACGGUCCUGCAAGCCAGAUGUGAAAGCCCGGGGCUCAACCCCGGGACUGCAUUUGGAACUGUAAGGCUAGAGUGUCGGAGAGGCAGGCGGAAUUCCUAGUGUAGCGGUGAAAUGCGUAGAUAUUAGGAGGAGCACCAGUGGCGAAGGCGGCCUGCUGGACGAUGACUGACGUUGAGGCUCGAAAGCGUGGGGAGCAAACAGG